rnacentral:rRNA from 1 species
AGUAGCUUGCUACUUUGCUGACGAGCGGCGGACGGGUGAGUAAUGCUUGGGAACAUGCCUUGAGGUGGGGGACAACAGUUGGAAACGACUGCUAAUACCGCAUAAUGUCUACGGACCAAAGGGGGCUUCGGCUCUCGCCUUUAGAUUGGCCCAAGUGGGAUUAGCUAGUUGGUGAGGUAAUGGCUCACCAAGGCGACGAUCCCUAGCUGGUUUGAGAGGAUGAUCAGCCACACUGGGACUGAGACACGGCCCAGACUCCUACGGGAGGCAGCAGUGGGGAAUAUUGCACAAUGGGCGCAAGCCUGAUGCAGCCAUGCCGCGUGUGUGAAGAAGGCCUUCGGGUUGUAAAGCACUUUCAGUCAGGAGGAAAGGUUAGUAGUUAAUACCUGCUAGCUGUGACGUUACUGACAGAAGAAGCACCGGCUAACUCCGUGCCAGCAGCCGCGGUAAUACGGAGGGUGCGAGCGUUAAUCGGAAUUACUGGGCGUAAAGCGUACGCAGGCGGUUUGUUAAGCGAGAUGUGAAAGCCCCGGGCUCAACCUGGGAACUGCAUUUCGAACUGGCAAACUAGAGUGUGAUAGAGGGUGGUAGAAUUUCAGGUGUAGCGGUGAAAUGCGUAGAGAUCUGAAGGAAUACCGAUGGCGAAGGCAGCCACCUGGGUCAACACUGACGCUCAUGUACGAAAGCGUGGGGAGCAAACGGGAUUAGAUACCCCGGUAGUCCACGCCGUAAA